rnacentral:rRNA from 1 species
AGUGAACGCUGGCGGUAGGCCUAACACAUGCAAGUCGAACGGCAGCACAGUAAGAGCUUGCUCUUACGGGUGGCGAGUGGCGGACGGGUGAGGAAUACAUCGGAAUCUACUUUUUCGUGGGGGAUAACGUAGGGAAACUUACGCUAAUACCGCAUACGACCUACGGUUGAAAGCAGGGGAUCUUCGGACCUUGCGCGAUUGAAUGAGCCGAUGUCGGAUUAGCUAGUUGGCGGGGUAAAGGCCCACCAAGGCGACGAUCCGUAGCUGGUCUGAGAGGAUGAUCAGCCACACUAGAACUGAGACACGGUCCAGACUCCUACGGGAGGCAGCAGUGGGGAAUAUUGGACAAUGGGCGGAAGCCUGAUCCAGCCAUACCGCGUGGGUGAAGAAGGCCUUCGGGUUGUAAAGCCCUUUUGUUGGGAAAGAAAAGCAGCAGGUUAAUACCCCGCUGUUCUGACGGUACCCAAAGAAUAAGCACCGGCUAACUUCGUG